rnacentral:lncRNA from 1 species
CAAGCUUUUGCAAGGUUACUUGUUCGGUUUUCAUUGGAGGUUUUUGAAGAUCAAAGGGAUUAGAGAGGGGAGCUUCAUGCUUCGGGUCGGUGAAGGAAAGACAUAGAAUUUGGGUUUUUCUUCUUCGUAGAGUUUUGGGAAGACUGAGGCAAUCGUUGCUGAAGUCAGUAUUGUAAUGGUGAAUCGGGAUUUUUAAUGAAGUGGGUUUGAAUACUCUUGACUGUUUUAUGAAAUCGAGUCACGUCUGUGAUUGAAGGAUUAAAAAGAUGUCUAUAGGAUUGAGUAUGCGGAGUGAAUGAAAUUUAUUGGGUUAAU